UUUGAGUUGUAAUAGAAUCCCAUAACAAUGAAUUCGUUUUAAAGUUAUCAAAAACUUCAGAAGGUGUGAUGGAUUAACUGAAAGUUCGUUUAUAAUUCACAAAGUUCAGUCACUAACUUUUUAAAGCAUCCAUAGGAUUUAAAAGUAGAACUGAUCGAUUUGUAUGUUUCAAUUUAAUAGUGAAUGUUUCGAAUAAAUUCGCAGGGAGGAGCUUAGAGUCAUCACAACAAUCAUCUAGUCCGUGUACCAUUUUAUUGCACCUCUUAUAAAUUACAUAGAAAUUUCAUGGCAAGGUCCCUCUUCCCACACAUAUUCUCUGGAUCUCCCCUUCUUUCUCUAGUCUUGCUUUUCCUCCAACUCCAACCUUCC
rnacentral:lncRNA from 1 species